CCAGCUUCUUGUUUCUACUGUCUCCUUCCGCCGUUCGUCUGCUUGGGGACGAGCACUUGACAGGGAGCACUCAAUCUUUUUCGCGGCGUCGCCAUGAGAGCUAAGUGGAAGAAGAAGAGAAUGAGGAGGUUGAAGAGGAAGCGCCGAAAGAUGAGGCAGAGAUCGAAGUAGAGGCCGUUAUCUGAGGGAUGUUUUCCGACCUAGGGUUUUGGUUACUGCUUAGAUUUCUUUAUGUUAUUCUAGUUUUGGUUGCGUAACCGCUUUGAAUUUUUUUUAUGAUCGAUACAUUUAGUUGUCUUUAAUCGAGAACUUGUUUUCCAGCUUAACUGUUUUAAUUGAGUGAUUUUGAUAUGCUAUUUACCUGUUUUAAUGAUGGCCAUGUGAAAGCAUUAACUCGUUGAUUUCUUCAACAAUA